CGAUUGGGCGCCUCAGGAGUUGUCCCUCCUUAAUGCGCGCCCUUUCAGGAGAAGCCGGCGCCUUCCCCAUUAAGUAAAGGGGAAGGCUGGAUCGGACCUGCCGCUGGCAGGGGAACGCCCCCCCCAUGGCCGCCUGGCGCAUCUCCACCGUGGAGGUGCGCCUCGACCGGCUCCGGGAAAGUUGGGACGGCCCAGUGGUGAGGGCCUGAUUGGACCUGCAUUCUUACAGUACUUUUGCCAAUAGGCUUGAAUAUCUUAUUUAAGCCAUUUGACUAGUAAAGCAUACUGAGCAUUGUGAGUCUGUGUGCAGCCUGCUCAGUAGAAGGGAUUACACAAAGGAGCCCCUCUCUUGGAGAGGUGAGGGGUAACAGCCAUCAAGAGGUGUUCCCGAGGAGUCCUUGGAUUAUUUGUGGUUUGGCCCCGUUCAAGUUCAAGAAGAGUUCAUGGCUCCACCUGCUGCUUUGGGAUGCUUGUGAGUCGAACUGUCUCUCUCCAAGUGUUGAGAUCC